UACGUAGGGUCCGAGCGUUGUUCGGAAUCAUUGGGCGUAAAGGGCGCGUAGGCGGCCGAUCAAGUCGGAGGUGAAAUCCCUCGGCUCAACUGAGGAAUUGCCUUCGAUACUGUUCGGCUUGAGUCCUGGAGAGGGUAGCGGAAUUCCCGGUGUAGCGGUGAAAUGCGUAGAGACCGGGAAGAACACCAGUGGCGAAGGCGGCUACCUGGACAGGUACUGACGCUGAAGCGCGAAGCUAGGGGAGCAAACAGG
rnacentral:rRNA from 1 species